UGCUUCUCAUUUCCUGCCCGCCCUUAAGAAAGAGACCAAAGCGUUUGAAGAACGACUCUUGAAAAUGGCUUUAAAGCAUCUGUGAAGAACAAAUGAGACCCAAACCAGCAGAGCCGGCCCGCAAUAAAGACCGCGCGAUCCGGACCAGAAAAGAUGUGUUUCAAAUUUAUGCCCCGGAACAAGAAGCCGUUCGCAGCCAACCUCUCCUACCCGGCUACUGAAGCCACCGAGGGCCCUGCCCGUCUCUUGGAAAAGGAAAAAUGGAACUUCCGCCAGCGGGAAGAAGAAGCCGGAGCCUCCUUCACGGAGAGAACGGAAAAUCGACCGGCGGCGGGGAGGAACGGCGAGAGAUGAUUAAUGGCUUGUGUUCAGAGAAUACGUCGGGUUUUCCUUUCGGCGUAAAGGAAAUCUUUUCUGCCGGAAUUAAAACUGGGGACGCUGAGAUGACUAGAAACAGCUCUCUCUGAACUUUUCACAGCCCUAACCCCUCGAACGGGGGCCCACAAAAGGAAGAAAAAUAGGAGGACGCUGAAGCAAAGAGGUGAAGCGCUAUGUUGAUAAUAUCAAACCGGAUUGGACAGCCAACCUGCAAUUCUACCCGGAACCCAAAGCGUCGACUCCAUGGGGGUGAUAACUCCCAGUCUCGCUCAUCUGGGGACUCCUAACAAGAUCCGAGAAUUUCCAGCUUAGGUGGUAACAGAGAUACUUUGGGGAAUCUCGGAAGCCCGUGGGGACUUAGAGCACGACUCAAAUAAUGUCACGCCUCUGUCUAUCACCGCAUAAACUUGGAGAAAACACGAA